rnacentral:misc_RNA from 1 species
UUUCAGGUAAUGGUAAAUAACGCCCUUGUUAUUCUGUUAAUAGAUCCUCCUCCUCCCACUAACUUGCAGAAGACCCAAGAGGAGAGAAGCUAAACUAAGAGGUAACAGCCAUGAACAAUCCUUUAACCACUCUCCUCUUCCUCGCGGUUUUAGUUGCCUCUUCUGUAACCCAUGUCAGAUCGGACGCAUCUGACCACCGUUAUAAGGACGGUGAUCCUGUUCCUCUCUACGCCAACAAGGUUGGACCUUUUCACAACCCAAGCGAAACGUAUCGCUAUUUCGAUCUGCCCUU